CCCCUAGCCUGCCACGCUGGUGAGCAGUGUCUAGAAAGCAAGGGAGGUGACUCGAAUUUGUUAAAAACAGCACAUGCCUCAGGGCAAAGCACCCCACACUCGUUUGAGGGCUCUGUCUUCAGAACUUUACAGGGGAUCUUUGAGUACGAGAGGUGGGACUGAGUGGUUUUUCUUCUGUUUCAGUCCCUGGUUGGCUGACAAGCUUUUGUAGUCCAAGAUGGAAUAAAGGAACCACAUUGGGAAUUCCACCUUGUGCAUUGUGACAGUAACUCAGUGCUUUUUUCUUUUCUGUCUUUGCAGGAUUCGGCGUUGCCCCGAGCACGGCAAGGAGCAGAGAUGAGCAGGUCUCUGAUGCCUAUUUUCUGAGGAUCUACCGUUUGAUGUUGAGAAGCAGCAGUGAGAAGAUAUCUCAGGGCAUUUUGUUCAGCAGAGUGUUUCAAAUAAGGGUUGCGGUCACUGUGCGAGUUAGUCUCCUGCUGCGUGUCAGAGUGUGUCUGUCUGUGAGAGUCGGUGGGUCAGGGUCUGCUUGUGUGCAUGUGUGUCGAGUGGUUCUAACCUGGUAUGUAUGGCUUUUGCUUUUCAGGAAUUACUAUUCACUUUUAAAUUUAGAAUAAAAAAUCCCCAGCUGGGGGGGUUUUUUUUUUUUCCCUCCCAGCUGGGGUUUUUUUUCCUCGGUCCCGGCCGGUCUGCGAGGCGACAGUCAUCGCCAAAGUUUGGGCACGGACCGGCCCCGGACCGAGGUUUUCGUCAGGCAGGCUGAUUUUCAGGGUCCCGGGAACCACGUUCCCGAGGACCAACGACAGCAGGAUUAUAAUGGGGCGGUGGAGAGGAGUGUGAAGGUGAGUAUGUGUGCGAGCUGAAGCCGGCUUCUGUGGCGAAUGAGUAUUGUGUUUUCUGUGUGCUCCUUGUGGUUUGGCAUAGCAGUAAUAAUGAAACAGCAUGUAUUGACCUUUCCAGAACUGUAGAAAUAGUUAUAUUCUGUUAAUAUGUAUUUGGCUUGUAUUGUUCUGUAUUUGCAUUUGCUGCUGUGUUUCACUGUAUUACUCUGUAUGUGAAUUAGGAAUUUUUCAGUGUGUACAUGGAUUGUAUUGUAAUGCAUUUGUCUCCAGUUUCUCUGUGUUUUGCUGUAGUGUAAAUAAAUUCAUUAAAUAAAGGUGAAUAAACCUUCAUCCCCCUC